rnacentral:rRNA from 1 species
GACAGAGGGUGCAAACGUUGCUCGGAAUUACUGGGCGUAAAGCGCGUGUAGGUGGAUUGGUGUGUCAGAUGUGAAAUCCCUGGGCUCAACCCAGGAACUGCACCUGAAACUACCAGUCUUGAGUGGUGGAGAGGGAAGUGGAAUUCCUGGUGUAGCGGUGAAAUGCGUAGAUAUCGAGAGGAACACCUGCGGCGAAGGCGGGUUGCUGGGCUGACACUGACGCUGAGGCGCGAAAGCUAGGGGAGCGAACGGG